rnacentral:rRNA from 1 species
GAUGAACGCUGGCGGCGUGCCUAAUACAUGCAAGUCGAGCGAACGGACGAGAAGCUUGCUUCUCUGAUGUUAGCGGCGGACGGGUGAGUAACACGUGGAUAACCUACCUAUAAGACUGGGAUAACUUCGGGAAACCGGAGCUAAUACCGGAUAAUAUUUUGAACCGCAUGGUUCAAAAGUGAAAGACGGCCUUGCUGUCACUUAUAGAUGGAUCCUCGCUGCAUUAGCUAGUUGGUAAGGUAACGGCUUACCAAGGCAACGAUGCAUAGCCGACCUGAGAGGGUGAUCGGCCACACUGGAACUGAGACACGGUCCAGACUCCUACGGGAGGCAGCAGUAGGGAAUCUUCCGCAAUGGGCGAAAGCCUGACGGAGCAACGCCGCGUGAGUGAUGAAGGUCUUCGGAUCGUAAAACUCUGUUAUUAGGGAAGAACAUAUGUGUAAGUAACUGUGCACAUCUUGACGGUACCUAAUCAGAAAGCCACGGCUAACUACGUG